rnacentral:rRNA from 1 species
GAUGAACGCUAGCGGCAGGCCUAAUACAUGCAAGCUGAACGGUAAAUGUUGUAGCAAUACAAUAUCAGAGUAGCGUAAGGGUGCGUAACGCGUAUGCAAUCUGCCCGUAACUGGAAGAUAGCUCCCCGAAAGGGGAAUUAAUACUCCAUAACAUCUCACGAGGGCAUCUGAGUGAGAUUAAAGCUGAGGCGGUUACGGAUGAGCAUGCGUCUGAUUAGUUAGUUGGUGAGGUAACGGCUCACCAAGACGAUGAUCAGUAGGGGAACUGAGAGGUUGAUCCCCCACACUGGCACUGAGAUACGGGCCAGACUCCUACGGGAGGCAGCAGUAGGGAAUAUUGGUCAAUGGGUGAGAGCCUGAACCAGCCAUGCCGCGUGCAGGAAGACGGCCUUCUGGGUUGUAAACUGCUUUUGUCAGGGGAUAAAAUACCCGUGCGCGGGGAAUUGAAGGUACCUGGUGAAUAAGCCACGGCUAACUACGUGCCAGCAGCCGCGGUAAUACGUAGGUGGCAAGCGUUGUCCGGAUUUAUUGGGUUUAAAGGGUGCGUAGGCGGCCCCGUAAGUCAGUGGUGAAAGACGGCAGCUCAACUGUCGAGGUGCCAUUGAUACUGCAGGGCUAGAGUACUGAUGA